rnacentral:rRNA from 1 species
GACGAACGCUGGCGGCGUGCUUAACACAUGCAAGUCGAACGGAAAGGCCCUGCUUUGUGGGGUGCUCGAGUGGCGAACGGGGGAGUAACACGUGAGUAACCUGCCCUUGACUUUGGGAUAACUUCAGGAAACUGGGGCUAAUACCGGAUAGGAGCUCCUGCUGCAUGGUGGGGGUUGGAAAGUUUCGGCGGUUGGGGAUGGACUCGCGGCUUAUCAGCUUGUUGGUGGGGUAGUGGCUUACCAAGGCUUUGACGGGUAGCCGGCCUGAGAGGGUGACCGGCCACAUUGGGACUGCGAUACGGCCCAGACUCCUACGGGAGGCAGCAGUGGGGAAUAUUGCACAAUGGGCGGAAGCCUGAUGCAGCAACGCCGCGUGCGGGAUGACGGCCUUCGGGUUGUAAACCGCUUUCGCCUGUGACGAAGCGUGAGUGACGGUAAUGGGUAAAGAAGCACCGGCUAACUACGUG